UUUGUUUCCAUAGAUAAAAGGGCCAAUAAUAAUUGUUAAAAAAAACAACAAAGGGGUGAUUUCUCAUAAGGCCACAAAUCUUAAAAGGAAUGUGUGUCUGUUGGGGGGGGGGGGACUUGACUGGUUCAUAUUUUAUCAGCUUUGAAAUAAUGAAAAACUGAGUUGUCCUUAGCCUGAUUUGAACUCAGAACCUAAAGGGACACAACUGAAUACCAAAGACAACUUAGUCUGGCAUCCCAAUUGUUGCUGCCACAACACAACUUAAUGAUUUAUCGAUGAUUUAAAAAAUUGUUUAAAACGACCAGCUUGAAAAUAUAAAAUAUAUUUUAUAUUUGUUUUACACCAACUUCAAAGCAGAAAGUUUAGCACCAAGAAUUCUCAUACUAUCUCCUUGGUCCUUAAAUAUUCCCAUUUCCAAAAGCACUGCUGCUAUUUAAUACAUGUGGCUUUUAUAUAUAUAUAAAUACAUGUAUAUA